CAGUAAGGAAUCUUCCACAAUGGGGGCAACCCUGAUGGAGCAACGCCGCGUGCAGGAUGAAGGCCCUCGGGUCGUAAACUGCUUUUAUGAGUGAAGAAUAUGACGGUAACUCAUGAAUAAGGGUCGGCUAACUACGUGCCAGCAGCCGCGGUCAUACGUAGGACCCAAGCGUUAUCCGGAGUGACUGGGCGUAAAGAGUUGCGUAGGUGGCUUGUAAAGUGAAUAGUGAAAUCUGGGGGCUCAACCUCCAGGCUAUUAUUCAAACUCACAAGCUCGAGAAUGAUAGAGGUCACUGGAAUUUCUGAAGUAGGGGUAAUAUCCGUAGAUAUCAGAAGGAACACCAAUGGCGUAGGCAGGUGACUGGAUCAUUUCUGACACUGAGGCACGAAAGCGUGGGGAGCGAACCGGAUUAGA
rnacentral:rRNA from 1 species